rnacentral:tRNA from 1 species
GGGCCUGUAGCUCAGUGGUCAGAGCAGCGGACUCAUAAUCCGUUGGUCGGGGGUUCAAAUCCCUCCAGGCCCA